rnacentral:sRNA from 1 species
GAGGGAUUGAUUCAUUGAUAAGAAAAAGUAAAAGACUCUAGGUGAAGUAAGCUAAAGAAGCAGAAAAAGUCUAGUAAAGGUUUUGGGAUUUGAAAAGAAAAGAAAGAGUUCUUGUUAGCUAUUGAAGAUGGGCGAAAGCCCUUGGUUUUAAAAUGUUAAAAACAGGAACCUUAGUUGUUAAAGAAAUCCAAAUCCACUAGAUGU